rnacentral:lncRNA from 1 species
UUGAUAUUGUGAUGAAUCGCCUCGCCAAUGAUUUCUCUAUGGCUCCUGGGAGCAUCAGGAUUGCUAUAAAACACAACUUGGGAUUAGUUUCUUUCACAAAGACCCUACGCCACCUUCUCACUGAGGGUAUAAAAACCAGGAGGCUCGAAAGGGGCAAGAAAAUCUUCACAUGGAUCAAGGCAAAUGGAUCAAUUCCACAACCACUGGCUUGCGGAAACAAAAGAAGAUGCCCAAGGGAUUUACUAUACCAGAUAUCCGGCCGCCCAUACAAUAGUCAUCGGUGUAAUGAUCUCUGGUGGAAAUAAUAAGCUUCCGUUCAUUUUCAAGACGACAGAAAAUCGGCCAGGAGGCCUACUAUACCCAGGUUCACCAUCUUGUCAUGGCUGAGAAUCAUCUACCCGGAGGGUAACUACUUGUAAAAUCAGGACGGUGCCCCGUCUCACACGUCCGCCAUGUUCACCAGAUUUGAACCCACCGGACUUUUUCUAUAUGAGGCACUUUGGAUAAGAUCUCACACCCACAUGUGGACUCACUGAAGGCAUCCAUAGUGGCUGCAUGGAAAAACUUGUCUAAAGAUUUUGACUUCAACUCCUGCAUGGCCUUCAGGUGACGAGUAAAGGGUGAGAUUGAUAAUAAAGGUGGCCAUAUUGAGUAAAAAAGUUUUGCAAAAACUCUUGUCCGCACAUUUUGUUAACAUUAUUUGUCUAACUAAUGUUGAAAAAAUAAAAUUAUUGAUGUAUUUCUAAAUCAAUCUCUUGAGUCCUCGUUUGGCUACCCUACCCUGUAUAUUUUUAAUAGAAGGUAUUAUGAUAUAUUAAAAUUUGAAUCUAUUUCUAUCAUAGUAUCAUAAUAUCAUCAUCCUGUUCAUAAGUUUUUUUAUUCUUUUUCAUUAUUUAUAACUUGGUUUAUGGGACAUUUUUUCUCAAGAUAUAAAAUUAGAAGGCAAUAACAUAAUACAAAAUGAUAUCUGAAUUUAUUUAUUUCAUUUCUCAUUUUGCCUCAAGAAUUUUUUUUGAGCAUUUCAAAUAUUAGCACCAAAUGGAAGAGUUGAUAUAAAUAUCAUGUGGUUUUAAAUAAAAUUACAAAAACAUGAAGGUCUGAGAGCUCGAACGAAGCUGCGAAAAGCUCACAUUGAUUAGAGAAGAAGGAAAAUGAAAGUAAAUUUUGCAUGCCAAACACUUUCGAGAAGUGUAGCAGAUGCAUUGAACAUGCUCUCAAAGGAUCUUCAGCACAAAAACUUUUCGAACUGAACGGCUACAGUGGAGUUCUUUAGAAUAUUUGACAUUUUUAACUCUCGGAAUAUAUUAGAAAGCUCAACUAAAACCCCAUUAAGAAGAUCCAACUAUGAUUAUUGGCGCCCUCUCAUGGAAUCAAGUUACGACAAUUUCAAAGAAUUAAAAACUUGCAGUGGUCAAAAAGUUGUUAAUACAAA